UCCGUAGGGUGAACCUGCUUGGGGCCCGGGGGGGGGGGGGGGUUACUCCCCAAACCCCUGUGGUGAGAAAAAACAUACCAAUUGUUGCCUCGGCGGAUCAGGAUCAGCCCGCUCCCGGUAAAACGGGACGGCCCGCCAGAGGAGGGCCCCCCCAAACCUAUUUCUGUUUCUAUAUGUAACUUCUGAGUAAAACCAUAAAUAAAUCAAAACUUUCAACAACGGAUCUCUUGGUUCUGGCAUCGAUGAAGAACGCAGCAAAAUGCGAUAAGUAAUGUGAAUUGCAGAAUUCAGUGAAUCAUCGAAUCUUUGAACGCACAUUGCGCCCGCCAGUAUUCUGGCGGGCAUGCCUGUUCGAGCGUCAUUUCAACCCUCAAGCCCAGCUUGGUGUUGGGACUCGCGAGUCAAAUCGCGUUCCCCAAAUUGAUUGGCGGUCACGUCGAGCUUCCAUAGCGUAGUAGUAAAACCCUCGUUACUGGUAAUCGUCGCGGCCACGCCGUUAAACCCCAACUUCUGAAUGUUGACCUCGGAUCAGGUAGGAAUACCCGCUGAACUUAAGCAUAUCAAUAAGCGGAGGA
rnacentral:rRNA from 1 species